rnacentral:misc_RNA from 1 species
GUUUUAAUAAUUUCUGCUUUCGCAAAAGUUUAUACUUCAGGCUCGGUAAAUUAAAAAAGUGUGUAAUAUAUCGCUCUCCUUCCUAGCAUUUUUGACAUUCGCAAACACUAAAUUAAAAAGGACUACUUAUGUCAAAAAACAAUCUGGGAAGGAAAACAAUGGACGAGUUACGGUGCACAAGAGGUGGGUAUGGAUUUAUAAUCCAUAUGGAUUAUUUUUUAAUGAUCCUUCCGCAGGUUCACCUACGGAAA